rnacentral:rRNA from 1 species
GAUGAACGCUGGCGGCGUGCCUAAUACAUGCAAGUCGAGCGAAUGGAUUAAGAGCUUGCUCUUAUGAAGUUAGCGGCGGACGGGUGAGUAACACGUGGGUAACCUGCCCAUAAGACUGGGAUAACUCCGGGAAACCGGGGCUAAUACCGGAUAACAUUUUGAACCGCAUGGUUCGAAAUUGAAAGGCGGCUUCGGCUGUCACUUAUGGAUGGACCCGCGUCGCAUUAGCUAGUUGGUGAGGUAACGGCUCACCAAGGCAACGAUGCGUAGCCGACCUGAGAGGGUGAUCGGGCAAACUGGGACUGAGACACGGCCCAGACUCCUACGGGAGGCAGCAGUAGGGAAUCUUCCGCAAUGGACGAAAGUCUGACGGAGCAACGCCGCGUGAGGGAUGAAGGCUUUCGGGUCGUAAAACUCUGUUGUUAGGGAAGAACAAGUGCUAGUUGAAUAAGCUGGCACCUUGACGGUACCUAACCAGAAAGCCACGACUAACUACGUGCCAGCAGCCGCCGUAA